AUACGGAGGAUCCGAGCGUUAUCCGGAUUUAUUGGGUUUAAAGGGUGCGCAGGCGGCCAUUUAAGUCAGCGGUUAAAUCGUGGGGCUCAACCCCAUUCUGCCGUUGAUACUGGGUGGCUUGAUUGCGGUCGAGGUCGGCGGAAUUCGUUGUGUAGCGGUGAAAUGCAUAGAUAUGACGAAGAACACCGAUUGCGUAGGCAGGUGACCAGAUCGCAAAUGACGCUCAUGCACGAAAGUGCGGGGAUCGAACAGGAUUAGAUACCCUGGUAGUCCGCACAGUAAACGAUGAAUACUUGUUUUCGGCGAUAUAAUGUCGGAGGCAAAGCGAAAGCGAUAAGUAUUCCACCUGGGGAGUAAGCCGGCAACGGUGAAGCUCAAAUGAAUUGACGGGG
rnacentral:rRNA from 1 species